AUUGAACGCUGGCGGCAUGCCUUACACAUGCAAGUCGAACGGUAACGCGGGGGCAACCCUGGCGACGAGUGGCGAACGGGUGAGUAAUACAUCGGAACAUAUCCAGUAGCGGGGGGAUAACCUAUCGAAAGAUUGGCUAAUACCGCAUACGAUCUACGGAUGAAAGCAGGGGACCGCAAGGCCUUGCACUAUUGGAGUGGCCGAUGUCAGAUUAGCUAGUUGGUGGGGUAAAAGCCUACCAAGGCGACGAUCUGUAGCUGGUCUGAGAGGACGAUCAGCCACACUGGAACUGAGACACGGUCCAGACUCCGUACGGGAGGCAGCAGUGGGGAAUAGGUCUAACAAUGGUCGGAAGACUGAUAGUGCGACGCCGCGUGAACGAUGAACUCCGUUCGGGUGUUAAAGUUCUUUAUAUGUGAGCAGUGUCUUCUUAUAUUAACAGUAUGGGGAGAGAGAUAUUAGAUAUAGAAUAAGACAACGGCUAACG
rnacentral:rRNA from 1 species